GAUGAACGCUAGCUACAGGCUUAACACAUGCAAGUCGAGGGGCAGCAUGAACUUAGCUUGCUAAGUUUGAUGGCGACCGGCGCACGGGUGAGUAACGCGUAUCCAACCUGCCCUUGUCCACCGGAUAACCCGUCGAAAGGCGGACUAACACGGUAUGCAGUCCACAGCAGGCAUCUAACGUGGACGAAAUGUAAAGGAGAAGGAUGGGGAUGCGUCUGAUUAGCUUGUUGGCGGGGUAACGGCCAACCAAGGCGACGAUCAGUAGGGGUUCUGAGAGGAAGGUCCCCCACAUUGGAACUGAGACACGGUCCAAACUCCUACGGGAGGCAGCAGUGAGGAAUAUUGGUCAAUGGACGGAAGUCUGAACCAGCCAAGUAGCGUGCAGGAUGACGGCCCUAUGGGUUGUAAACUGCUUUUAUAUGGGGAUAAAGUGAGCCACGUGUGGCUUAUUGCAGGUACCAUAUGAAUAAGGACCGGCUAAUUCCGUGCCAGCCGCCGCAGUAA
rnacentral:rRNA from 1 species